UUCCCGGAGGACUAGUGGUUAGGCCUCAGUGCUCUCACGGCUGCGGCCCGGGCUCGAUUCCUGGCCAGGGAA